rnacentral:rRNA from 1 species
UUGGAGGGCAAGUCUGGUGCCCGCAGCCGCGGUAAUUCCAGCUCCAAUAGCGUAUACUAAAGUUGUUGCAGUUAAAAAGCUCGUAGUUGAAUUUCGGGGUCAGCAGGUUGGUCGUGCCUCUGGUACGCACUGGUUUCGCUGAUUCCUCCUUUCUGAAGAACUGUAAUGUCAUUAAUUUGGUGUUGCAGGGAAACAGGACUGUUACUUUGAAAAAAUUAGAGUGUUUAAAGCAAGCUAACGCUUGAAUACAUUAGCAUGGAAUAAUGAAAUAGGACGUUUGAUCCUAUUUUGUUGGUUUCUAGGAUUGACGUAAUGAUUAAUAGGGAUAGUUGGGGGCAUUAGUAUUCAAUUGUCAGAGGUGAAAUUCUUGGAUUUAUUGAAGACUAACUACUGCGAAAGCAUUUGCCAAGGAUGUUUUCAUUAAUCAAGAACGAAAGUUAGGGGAUCGAAGACGAUCAGAUACCGUCGUAGUCUUAACCAUAAACUAUGCCGACUAGGGAUCGGAUGAUGUUAAUUUUUUAAUGACUCAUUCGGCGCCUUACGGGAAAC